rnacentral:rRNA from 1 species
UAAUGGCUCACCAAGGCUAUGACGGGUAGCUGGUCUGAGAGGAUGGCCAGCCACAUUGGGACUGAGAUACGGCCCAGACUCCUACGGGAGGCAGCAGUGGGGAAUAUUGCGCAAUGGCCUGACGGCUGACGCAGCGACGCCGCGUGAGGGAUGAAGCUCCUCGGAGUGUAAACCUCUGUUGCCCGGGACGAACAGCUGAAUUCAUUCAGCCUGACGGUACCGGGUGAGGAAGCACCGGCUAACUCCGUGCCAGCAGCCGCGGUAAUACGGGGGGUGCGAGCGUUGUCCGGAAUCACUGGGCGUAAAGGGCGCGUAGGUGGCCUGAUAAGGGUGUGGUGAAAGUCCGGGGCUUAACCCCGGAUCUGCCAUGCCGACUGUCAGGCUGGAGUGCUGUAGGGGCAGGCGGAAUUCCGGGUGUAGCGGUGGAAUGCGUAGAGAUCCGGAGGAAGACCGGUGGCGAAGGCGGCCUGCUGGGCAGAUACUGACACUGAGGCGCGACAGCGUGGGGAGCAAACAGGAUUAGAUACCCUGGUAGUCCACGCCGUAAACGAUG